GACGAACGCUGGCGGCGUGCCUAAUACAUGCAAGUCGAACGCAGUGGCGACGGGUGAAUGACUCGUGGGGAACCUCCCAUCAGAGGGGAUAACACUUGGAUACAGGUGCUAAACCGCUACUUACUGAUGGACCCGCGGUGCAUUAGCGAGUUGGUGAGGUAACGGCUCACCAAGGCAACGAUGCAUAGCCGACCUGAGAGAGUGAUCGGCCACACUGGGACUGAGACACGGCCCAGACUCCUACGGGAGGCAGCAGUAGGGAAUCUUCGGCAAUGGACGAAAGUCUGACAGAGCAACGCCGCGUGAGUGAAGAAGGUUUUCGGAUCGUAAAACUCUGUUGUUAGAGAAGCGGUAUCUAACCAGAAAGCCACGGCUAACUACGUGCCAGCAGCCGCGGUAAUUC
rnacentral:rRNA from 1 species